AAUCAUUAGUCUUUUAAUUUAAGACUGGAAUGAAUGGUUUAACUUACUUUUUUUGUCUCAUUUUAAUAUUUUGAACUUUAUAUUUUAGUAAAAAAGCUAAAAUUUUAUUUUUAGACGAGAAGACCCUAUCAAGCUUUAUAAUUAAAUUUUAUUAUCAAAAUAAAAAGCAAAUUAUUUUACUGGGGUAGUAAAUAAAAAAUUUUUAUUUUAUUAUUAUGAAUAAUGAAUCUUGUUAAAUCUAAAAUUUUUAAAAUAAUAAUAAGUUACUGUAGGGAUAACAGCAUAAUUUUUUUAAAGAGAUCUUAUCAACAAAAAAGUUUGUGACCUCGAUGUUGGAUUAAAAUACCUAAUUA
rnacentral:rRNA from 1 species